rnacentral:tRNA from 1 species
GGGCGAAUGGUUUAGUGGUAUAAUACUCCCUUAGCAAGGCUUCGUUGCUCGUCAACCCUUGAUCUGGGAGUGGUCCAGGGUUCGAUUCCCUGUUCGUCCA